GCGAAGGCAGCUACCUGGACGAAUACUGACGCUGAGGUACGAAAGUGUGGGGAGCGAAAGGGAUUAGAUACCCCUGUAGUCCACACCCUAAACGAUGCGCACUAGGUUUCGGAGGAUUCGACCCCUUCGGAGCCCAAGCUAACGCGUUAAGUGCGCCGCCUGAGGACUACGGCCGCAAGGCUAAAACUCAAAGGAAUUGACGGGGGCCUGCACAAGCGGUGGAGCAUGUGGCUUAAUUCGAUGCAACGCGAAGAACCUUACCAAGGCUUGACAUGCAGUGGACCGGCGCAGAGAUGCGCUUUCUCUUCGGAGCUGCUGCACAGGUGCUGCAUGGCUGUCGUCGGCUCGUGUCGUGAGAUGUUUGGUUAAGUCCAGCAACGAGCGCAACCCCUGUCCUUAGUUGCCAGCACGUAAUGGUGGGGACUCUAAGGAGACUAACUGUGUGCAACAGUGGGAAGGUGGGGAUGACGUCAAGUCAGUAUGGCCCUUACGCCUUGGGCUGCACACGUGCUACAAUGCCCGGCACAAUGGGAAGCAAGACCGCGAGGUGGAGCCAAUCCACAAAACCGGGCCCAGUUCGGAUUGGAGUCUGCAACUCGACUCCAUGAAGUCGGAAUCGCUAGUAAUGGCGCAUCAGCAACGGCGCCGUGAAUACGUUCCCAGGCCUUGUACACACCGCCCGUCACAUCAUGAAAGCCGGUUCUGCCCGACGUACGUGAGCUAACUUCGGAGGCAGCGUCCUAAGGUGGGGCUGGUGAUUGGGAUGAAGUCGUAACAAGGUAGCCGUAGGGGAACCUGCGGCUGGAUCACCUCCUU
rnacentral:rRNA from 1 species